rnacentral:ncRNA from 1 species
CACGGGGAGCUGAUGGAAUUCGGCUGAGAGUGCGCAUAGCCCUGCGCGAUACCCGCAAGACCUGAUCUGGGUAAUGCCAGCGUAGGAAAUUUCCG